CUCUCUCGGUAACAGCUCUUUCGUGAAAAACGGAGGAUCUAAACGUAGAUACGCAAAGCGGUGCCAAAAAUUCCUCUCGUAAAGCCUCGACCGGUGAGCGUAGCGACGACAACAUCAGCCCCAGCGGCGAUUCAAGCAUGUAGUCGCCUGAGUCUCGGCAAACAGGCAGACUCAAGCAACACGUCUGCCUCCCUUCUUCGAAGCACUCUGUGGCCUCUGCUUCUCGCGUUAUUCUGUCCUGCGGGUAGGCCACGUUGCUUGCUGUGACGCAAAGGCGCUCCACGAGUGCGCAGCUGAGACGAGCGUUGAGCUGGUGUUCGCUUCAGCCUGGAAGUGCACGCUCAGUCCAGUUGGAAGCGUCUUCUCUGUCCUCCGUCGCCAUGCUUUCCCUCAGGAUGCGUUCCAUAAAAACGUUCGGAUGCGUGACGCUGUCCUUGGACAAGUCGUUUUCAGUCUUCGUCAGCGUUGAACGACUCUGGUGCUGAGCGGGUCGCCUGCGGGGAGGGAUCGGUGAAGCGCGCCUCAGGCGUUUGGCACGCUCGCGGCUGAGAAGCUCGUGGAAAAGGCAGCUGCGGGAUCGGAAACAUAUAUACGCGGGGAGGCAAGUUGCUGGCUCGCCGUCCAUCCACGGGGUCUGACUGCCGGUGUAAGAAAAUGGAAGUGGAGUGCGACGUGCACAUCCACGCUACCCGCCACGAAAGGAGAAUGCGAAGCAACCACCUGACAGAAAAGAGAAGGAUCCCAGCCGCAAAGAGGACGACGAGAGUCAGGAAGGAAACCCUGCGCACUGGAAAGGCCAGUCCGAAACCAGCGCCUACACGUCGGUGCCAGAACGCAUCAACGGAAAAAAUUCUCCGAGUACGUGAGAUGCCCAGGGCUAUUAGGUAUUGCGUAGAAUGUGGUUGACGGAAGGCCCGCCUAGCUCUCCCCGAAUGGAUGCCCCUCGUGCAGCAACUGGCGGGAAGGGUUUCGGAGGCAGCGCUGCCAGCAGUUCGCAUUCGUAGGGAGUUUUUGGUCAAACCCUCGAGCGACAGCACUAGGAAUGCUCCGCUCCGAGCAUGCCAGCGGGCCUGUUCGUGGUGUCGUUGACCAAUACACACGCUGGCCGGCAUCCGUUUCUGCGCUGCACUACAUGGUUGCUCGGCCCAUGGACAGCGUAGGUGCCAGGAAAAGUUUCGCCCAAACCUCAGAACCUAUAGCCAAGAGCGGGUCCGUGGCGACUACCCUACGAGGCGCACCCCAGAGGCGUUGUACUCGUUGCGUCCACAGCGUUGUGGUCGACGAAAUGUUGGCGACUGACGCAAGCGGCUCUUGGGAUGUCCGUGGAGGCACGUGACGAGCUGGCUCCGGACGAGAAGGUGCUGGAAGCGAGCUCGGAGAUGUCGCAUCGAGAACGAGCGACGCUCCAGAUCGUCCGAGCUCAUGGAGUAGGUUUCUGUUCCGGAGCUGGGCACGUCGUCUCGGAAGGAUUACGCGGGCGUUGACCUGGCCUAACUUGCAUCCUGCGCUGCUAGGUUUUCGCGAACGCGGCGCUCCACCGCAAGGCAGACCCUCUGGUCGUAUGUGAGCGCCUUUGCAUCCUCAAACCCCUGGUCGAUACGGUCCCCGCAUUUCGGGGCAAAGCCCAUGAUACCACCGUGCAUAUUUGUGUGGUGUACGACGUCCUCAGUGGUCUACGAUGUGUGCGCACGAGCAGCUAGGGGGCACUCUGCCUAUUUCGGGCAGAGCGUUGGCGGGGCUCGUUCAACGCCACUCGUUGGCUGGGAAAACACGGAAAGCGAUGUACAGGGGCCUUGGGGACGCGCACGGCACAUCAAACAGCAUGCACUUUGCGAAACCGCGGCCCGAUGGGAGCAACGAGACUCAUAUUCAACCGCUUACGGAAAACGAACGUGAAGGCUUCGUGGUGCGCGUGGAUGCCGUUUCUGAGGGCGCCGUGGCCGUCACCGUGCCCGUUCGUCACGGGGCAGCGCCAGAGACCUGAACGGAAAGCAAAUGAGUCUGCUCCACGCCUCCAGGGCUCGGUAUCAUCCGGAGUUGGACGUGAACGACGCCAGCAGGCGUACCAACUCGUGGAAUGACGACGUAAAGACCUGUCGUGACGCGCUGAGUACGGUAUCGGGCAAAAGGAGAUGCACUGCGCACCUCAUUCAUAACGGGUAUGAGCGACUAGAUCGCUCAUGCGGACGAGCCAUGGCAGAGGAACGCGGGACCGAGCUCGAGUCUCCAACAGUCGCAACCGCUCGCGGGCACGAGGCGGGUAUUCGCAAGCUUCCUCAAAGCACUGGAAACGGAACUGGCCGAUCGGUUGCAUCUUAUAAAGAUAGUGCAUGGCGGUGGACGCGCUC
rnacentral:misc_RNA from 1 species